rnacentral:lncRNA from 1 species
UGCGAUCAUCCCACCUUCGUUCUAUAUAUAUGUGUAUUAUGUCAAACAGGAAGCAAAAGCAACUUACUUUUGAGUUUUGAUUACAGUUCAUCACCUGAAGCAAGCAAGAUCUUUUCUGAUUUGAAGAAUAUGGAAACUCCCUGCGCAGGUUGUAGGCCAACCCUCAAUUUCAUUUCUAAUUCUUCUUUUUAAUAUAUACUUUAUAAAUAAAUUUUCCAAUAUGAAAAUUUUCAGGUAACGCCUGGUUGGAGGGAUUCAUUGUUUCGUUUAUAAGCUUGAAUGAUGAUGAGAAAGUGAAUGACAGCAACCUUGAUCUUAUUGUUGUUCCUCAAUAUGGGAGAAAUCUUGAUUACACUGGUUAAAUGUGUGCAGUGUUACUCUUUUAUGUUGUGUUUAAUUAAAUAAAACAAUAGGUACUGUUACUACCUGUUAAUUAUGAGUGUGUCGAAUUUGGUUUAGUUAAUUGAACUACUAAGAUCUCUUGAGAUAUGCAAGAGAUUUUUUUUUUUUUUUAUUUGUGUCCAUGUAAUUUGUCUUCCUUAAUUAAUAAAAUUAUUGUGUGUUAA